AUCAUCUUCAGCAGCACACAUACUGACAUUGGAACGAUACAGAAGAGAUGAACCAUGGCUCCUGUGCAAGGGUGGUAUUCAAAUUCAUGAAGCGAACCAUAUUUUA